GGAAGUGUCGUAACAAGGUUUCCGUAGGUGAACCUGCGGAAGGAUCAUUAUUGUAUAACCGAGGUGCGAGGGCUGUCGCUGACCCGAAAGGUCGUGCACGCCCGAGUGCCCUCACACACAUCCAUCUCACCCCUAUGUGCACCACCGCGUGGGUCCCCCUUUGGCUUGUUCGGAGGGGGGCUUACGUUUUCACACAAACUUUGUAUGCAGUGUAGAAUGUAUUUUUUGUUUUUGCGAUCACGCAAUCAAUACAACUUUCAACAACGGAUCUCUUGGCUCUC
rnacentral:misc_RNA from 1 species